GAUGAACGCUGGCGGCGUGCCUAAUACAUGCAAGUCGAGCGAACGGACGAGAAGCCUGCUUCUCUGAUGUUAGCGGCGGACGGGUGAGUAACACGUGGAUAACCUACCUAUAAGACUGGGAUAACUUCGGGAAACCGGAGCUAAUACCGGAUAAUAUUUUGAACCGCAUGGUUCAAAAGUGAAAGACGGUCUUGCUGUCACUUAUAGAUGGAUCCGCGCUGCAUUAGCUAGUUGGUAAGGUAACGGCUUACCAAGGCAACGAUGCAUAGCCGACCUGAGAGGGUGAUCGGCCAAACUGGAACUGAGACACGGUCCAGACUCCUACGGGAGGCAGCAGUAGGGAAUCUUCCGAAAUGGGCGAAAGCCUGACGGAGCAACGCCGCGUGAGUGAUGAAGGUCUUCGGAUCGUAAAACUCUGUUAUUAGGGAAGAACAUAUGUGUAAGUAACUGUGCACAUCUUGACGGUACCUAAUCAGAAAGCCACGGCUAACUACGUG
rnacentral:rRNA from 1 species